AAGUCGUAACAAGGUUUCCGUAGGUGAACCUGCGGAAGGAUCAUUAUUAAAACAAAACAUAUUUAUAAUUUAUUUAUUAUUUAUAUGUUGGUAUUAAUAAAUGCACAUAUUUAGAAAUGUCAUUUUUCUUUUUGAAAUUUAAUUUUUAGCAUUUCUAAAUUAUUUAAAAAAUUAAAUAUCAUUAUCGACUGAUUUUAAAAUUUAAUUUUAAAUAAAGUUGAAAAAAAUAUAUAUAAAACGUUUUUGGUCUUACAAAAGAAAAGUCUUAAAAUAACUUUUAACGAUGGAUCUCUUGGCUCCUA
rnacentral:misc_RNA from 1 species